GGGGGCGGGACCCCAAGGGAGGCGGUCCCCAGUGGGUGGGCGAAGGGGGCGGCCGCACCCCCCGGCCGGGCCGUGCUUCUGCCCCUACAAGGUUUGGGCCGAGGUGGGGGAGGGUCCUGGUUGCCGGCCCCGCCCGGUCCCUCCCCGCCUUUUAGGCGCCCGCGUGGCCGGGACGUCCCAGUCCCGCUCCGUCCUCCUCGCCUGCCACCGGUGCACCCAGUCCGCUCACCCAGCCCAGUCCGUCCGGUCCUCACCGCCUGCCGGCCGGCCCACCCCCCACCGCAGCCAUGGACGCCAUCAAGAAGAAGAUGCAGAUGCUGAAGCUGGACAAGGAGAACGCCAUCGACCGCGCCGAGCAGGCCGAAGCCGACAAGAAGCAAGCUGAGGACCGCUGCAAGCAGCUGGAGGAGGAGCAGCAGGCCCUCCAGAAGAAGCUGAAGGGGACAGAGGAUGAGGUGGAAAAGUAUUCUGAAUCCGUGAAGGAGGCCCAGGAGAAACUGGAGCAGGCCGAGAAGAAGGCCACUGAUGCUGAGGCAGAUGUGGCCUCCCUGAACCGCCGCAUUCAGCUGGUUGAGGAGGAGCUGGACCGGGCCCAGGAGCGCCUGGCUACAGCCCUGCAGAAGCUGGAGGAGGCCGAGAAGGCGGCUGAUGAGAGCGAGAGAGGAAUGAAGGUCAUCGAAAACCGGGCCAUGAAGGAUGAGGAGAAGAUGGAACUGCAGGAGAUGCAGCUGAAGGAGGCCAAGCACAUCGCUGAGGAUUCAGACCGCAAAUAUGAAGAGGUGGCCAGGAAGCUGGUGAUCCUGGAAGGAGAGCUGGAGCGCUCGGAGGAGAGGGCUGAGGUGGCCGAGAGUCGAGCCAGACAGCUGGAGGAGGAACUUCGAACCAUGGACCAGGCCCUCAAGUCCCUGAUGGCCUCAGAGGAGGAGGUAGUGACCCCUCUGAACCUUUCUGGGCAAUGGCGCCUUCUCUCAGCUCACCUUCCCUCCGUCUCAGCACCGCAGGCUGCUCUUUCUCAGCUGCUGGGGAUCAGGAAGGGCCUGGGGCUUCUGAGCCCUGCCUGCUGUCACUCUCACAACUUUGCUCUUCUCUUCUCUCCUCCACCCGUCCCCCGCUGUGCCAUCUCCACUGUCUGGCUUCGCUGUGCCCUCACACCCUGCCCCCCCCGCCACACACCCCCUGCAGUAAAUGUGGGGACCUAGAGGAGGAGCUGAAAAUUGUUACCAACAACUUGAAAUCCCUGGAGGCCCAGGCGGACAAGUAUUCCACCAAAGAAGAUAAAUAUGAAGAGGAGAUCAAACUGUUGGAGGAGAAGCUGAAGGAGGCUGAGACCCGAGCAGAGUUUGCCGAGAGGUCUGUGGCAAAGUUGGAGAAAACCAUCGAUGACCUAGAAGAGACCUUGGCCAGUGCCAAGGAGGAGAACGUCGAGAUUCACCAGACCUUGGACCAGACCCUGCUGGAACUCAACAACCUGUGAGGGCCAGCCCCACCCCCAGCCAGGCUAUGGUUGCCACCCCAACCCAAUAAAACUGAUGUUAUUAGCCUCUCAA